GCUCAGGGCCCCGAGGCGGUUGGGGCGUCGGUGCUCAGGCGGACUGCUCUCGGGCAGGCCGUCGCAUUUGCCGUCGCCUUGUGGAAACCGUCAGCGAGAGGAAAGCUCGCCUGUUCCGCCAGGUGGAGGAGGUGGCAAGGGCUCGGCUUGCUGGGCUUUUGUUCGUACAGCUCCUGCCUGUCGGCUGGCGUGGCGAUCCUCGGGUGCGAACGUUGAGGACGUCGCUUCGUCCGAUUGGGAAAAGGUGCGGACCUCCCUCGGGAGGUGCGGAGGCGGUGUUGGGGACUCGUGAGGCGAGUCGAAGGGUGCUCUCGGGUCCUGUCUCACGGCAGCGGCUUCGACGGGCAACUUUGCUCGUUAUCCGGGCUCUCUGGCCUCGCUCUCAUGCUGCCGUGCCUCGGUCGCUGGCGUCGAGUCGGUUCCCUGUGC
rnacentral:rRNA from 1 species